CGCCCGGGAUUCCUUUGGGACGGUUCUGUCUUUCGGAUUUUCAGUCACAGUUUCCUUUGUUCUGGCGUCUGUGUGGGAUAAUCCGAAAGAGAAACCCUUCCCUCUGCACCAAGCGUUUGA
rnacentral:precursor_RNA from 11 species